rnacentral:lncRNA from 1 species
UGCUCUAGCCUGGGUGAUACAGCCAGACUCUAUCUCAAAAAAUAAAAUUAUUUUUGUAACAGAGAAGUCAGGGCUCUGUACCAUCUCUUACUAGGGUGGAAUCUAACAUGCAGAAAUAUAGCACAGCAUAAUCAUACUGUUCUUCAACACUGUCAACAAUUCCCUGACCCAAACUUCAUACACCUUAUUAGUUUUAAAAAAAGAAAAAGUCCUACUCAGAAUGCUGAUAGUAUCACUGCCAAAAACAGAGACUAUCUAGGAACUAAUACCUAAGUCACUUUCCCACAGCUGCCCAAGGACAUAUUCCUCAGUCCUCUUGGUAUCCAUCAGCAUGGACAAUGGAACCUGUGUGCUUUGAUGUCCCUGGUUUUUGAGAUUCUUGAAGAGUUUGAGUUCUAAAUGUGUCUGGGGCUUUCUGGAGUUGAGCAUCAAGAUGUGGAGAUCCUGGAUGACACACAACUGUAAUAGCUAGAAAACAAAGAAAAUUUAUUACAAAACAAUUCUAUAUUGUGUACUGAGCUGUCCAGGUAGAAAACAGUGGUAACCCAGAUGAUGACUUGGGCUAGAACUCAUGACUAUUUUAUUGGCGAUUCAAGGCCUCAGAGCCCUGGAUGUUAGCAUGUAGGCCCACAACCUCGAAGUACAGAGUAUGUGAAGCACAUGUAGGCUCCUAAAAGACAACCACAACCAGGCACAAGCUGGUGCUGUUAUUAAGGACAACUGGAAGCCACCUUUAUUUGCCAUGAUCGUCCUACACCUGGUCUAGGACUUACCCUAGUCUUCUCUUCCAUUUCUUUAACCACCCAUAAAAGGAUUUCCAUUUUCUUGAUCACUGACUUGACUCAGGCUUCUUUCUCUUUCGAUUCUCUCUGUUCCUGUGCUACUCAGAUGUGGAGGGUCAACUGGGAAACUUCAGUGUACUGCUGCUCAAAACAAGGCCUCUUCCUGAGCAUUUUGGGAGUAUCAACACCACUGGGAUUUAGUUCUAGAGCUUUCAAUGUGAGAAGUUUCUGGAAUAUCAGAAACAAAUAUCAAAUUUCAGAAGCCAAUUUUCUCUAAUUAAUGUGAGCUAUCUAUGAGGAAAGACUUUUAAAAGAAAUUUAACUUCUAGAACAAUGUGGGAUUUAUUUUUAAAAAAGAAAUUGUAUUCUCUAAAUUGUAUCUUUCUGAGGUUUUUUGUUUAAAUUUCUUUAUUUCUGAGGAAAUGAAUUUCUUCAUCCCAAAUGUUUCAAUUCUAUUUAAUUUAAAGUAGGUAACUGGCAGUGUUGAAGUUUCAUUGUCUAUGUUUGUUAUGAAAAAGGGUAUUGCAUAUUUUACUGCAAUUUUAAAAAAGAAUAUAUUUCUGAACAUCAGUGAAAAUGGUAGAGAAUGAACCUCCGAAAAAUCUCUUCUUCAGGAAAGCAAUGAGGAAACUGAGAGAAAUUGUCAAAAUCAACUGUUUCAGAACUCUGAAAUUUAAACAAAGGUGUGCAUCAACUUAGGGAGAAUUUAUUGAGGAAAAACGGUCUGACUCUUGGUUAAAAACGGUGGUUUUUGUGGCGUUUUAACUGGCCUAUUUCCAUCUGCAUCUCUCUAGCCUCUUAGAAGCCUUUAAAAUUAACAAUUUACAAUCACAGUGAAAAUCAGCAACAGACCAGAAGAAUUGCUAUUAUUUGAUCUGUUUGUUGGCUCCCUGGAGGACUCCACUUGCAAGGCUGUCUUUAACUGCCUUCAAUCAGAGCUUGUCUAGUGCAAAAAGUCUGGGUGACAGAGCAAGACCCUGUGUCGGAAAAAAAAAAAAAA